rnacentral:pre_miRNA from 1 species
AUUAUACUCCCUCCGUUCGGAAUUACUUGUCACAAAAAUAGAUGUAUCUACAUCUAGAUACAUUAAUUUCUUGGACGAGUAAUUCCGAACGGAGGGAGUAUAUG